GGGGAUGUAGCUCAGUGGUAGAAUAUUUGCCUGGCAUGCAUAAGACCCUUGGUUCCAUCCCCAGCACCACCA
rnacentral:tRNA from 1 species